UGAAUAGCUCAGUUGAUUAGAGUGUGGUGCUGAUAAUGCCAAGAUUUCAGGUUCAUUCCCCGUAUGGGACAG